rnacentral:lncRNA from 1 species
UUUUUUUUUCUAGAAUUUCGGCAGAGUUUCAGGAUUUUCAAAUACCUACCUCACUCUUGUUUUUGAUUUUUGAUUUUUUUUGAUUAUUUUUUUUGAUUUUCUUUCCCUAUUCUAGAAGCCAGUCAACAUGCAAGCUGAAUCAAACAAAUGCGCAAGUAGCACGUAAGAUGCAUCAGGAUGAUCUUUUAAAUUUGGGUACACCUGUCCUAGAUGGACCCAACCCCUGUGUUGAGUCCCCAAAGUCAGAUGCACAUGAUGCAAACAAAUGUUCCUACUAGGGAUCCGGCAUGAGGUUAUGUUAUUCUAGGUUUAAAAACCUAGGUGUAUUGUUCUAAACCUGGCUUACCCGAGCGGACAGCUCGAGCCGAGGGGGGUAGCGUACUGAGAAUACAGAAGCUUCACCGGUUUUUCAACUUGUCCGAACCUCGUUCUAAAAUUGGGAUAUGACUCUAACAGAAAAGAAGUCACACGAAGUGCACACUUCCCAGAUGAUUUAGAAGACCCAGGGAGAAGAGGGUUUCAUAACAUUUUUUAUAUACAGUUCAAUAAAUAUCAAAGCGAUAAAAAGAGGCAUUUAGCACAUUAGGCUCAAACACGUAAAAAUCAGAUAAUAAAUAAAAGGCAACUAUAACAGUUAUUCUAAGCUUGAAUUCUGAACCCUGAACCAGAAGUUUUGGGUUCUUAUCCCCAACAGAGUCGCCAGAGCUGUCACACCUCAUUUUUACUACCCGAGAGGGUAUAUGGGAGUUUUUUCAAUUAAAGUAAUAUUAUUCGAAAUGAGAUUAUUUUAUUCAAUUUCAGAGUCGCCACUUGGAAUAGUUUAUUUGGUGUUCCAAGUCACCGGUUUAUUUUAAAAUCCCAAAUCGAGGAAUUUUUUAUUUUUUAAAGUCCUCGAACCAGAAAUUCUAAUAAGGAAUUCUAUUAACCCGGGAGAAGGUGUUAGGCAUUCCCGGGUUUCGUGGUUCUAGCACGAUCGCUUAAACUAUUAAUAUUGGCCUAAUUAUCUGAUUUUUUACAUGUUUUAAAUCUAUUGUGCAUUUUAGCCUUAUAACCGCUUUUUAAUUAUUUUAACCGCUUUUAGGAUUUAUGGAAUUAUUUUCUUUAACAAGUUACGAUUGUCGUACACUUGCCGUUUUGGGACACACCGCAAACCACGCUACAUGAAAUACACCCGCAAUUCGCGACAUGUUUUAUUUUUAUUAUUGUUCAAAGUUGUUGUGGUCGAGUCACAUGAAAUGCACACCCGAAUUUGGGUUAGGUAUCCAUGUCACGGGAACCAUACCCAUAGUCGUGAUGAUUUAUUGGUCGCGCCUAAAGCAAAGCUACGAGUAUUCAUGAUUUAAUUAUUUCCUAAUGUUUGAGAUUAUAUCAAGGUCAUGAAUUCUGGAAUGGAAUUAAUUAUGGAUGAAAUUUAUGAUUUUAGCUAUUAUGAAUCUAUUUAAAAAGAUAAUUACCCAUUAAUGUCACAACCCAACAAUUUGUGCGUAAGUCUUUACUAACUAAUGCGACCACUAAGAGGAUGAAAUAUAGAAAAACAUUUUAAAACAUCAAACUUUUAAUUUCAUGAGGUUAAACAGAUUAGUUCUCCACUCAAAAAGCCAAAUAGCCCAGAAUCUUUAAUCAAUGCAAAUCUCUUAACAAUAAAAUAUUAUUGGUUUAAAUCCAACCACUUAUUCUAAUAAAAUCAACUAACAAAGGAAGAUCUGCCAUAACAAUUGAAUAUCUCCAAAUACAUCAAAACUAAGUAAUAUCCAAAACAAUAAGCAAUUGAAGUAAAAUGAGGGCAUGACCAAACAAAUACACAUUCAACAACAAAUGAAUCCAUUAUAUUCUAAAAUUGGCAAAUAACGAAGACAACAAAAGAGUAGAAAUAAAUCUCAAGGUCAUGUUACUCUGAACUUUGAUUAUUUUACAGCAUUGAAGUCAGAAAUAACGCAGGAUCUGCGGACAAGCACGAACCAAAAACCUCGCCGAAAAAUUGAUCAAAACCACGAUUGUUUCUCGACCCAAAAACGUUGCUACUUUGGAAGGAAUAGAGGGUCGUUUUCGAGCUAUUUGAUGGGGUUUUCAGCUCGUUUUCGGGAUGGAAUUGAAGCUCUUUUCGCUGGUUUUCAUGGUGGUUUGGAGCUCGUUAAUGGACUGUUUUUGUGUAGAUUUUCAGGGAUGUCUUUUAGACUUGUUUUGGACUAUUUUUGUGCAGAUUUUCGGGUCUUAGGAGGCUGGUUUUCAUGGUGAUUUUGCUGAGUUUUCAGCUGGAAAAUAGAGCAUGUUUUUGCUGGGUUUUAGAGCUAAUUUUUAGGCGGUUUUUCAGCACAUUUAGGAUGUUUCUGGGGGCUGAUUUGAGCUGUUUUUUGCAUAAGGUUUUAGCUGAAUUUUUGGGGCUAACUCUCAUGGGUUUUAGGGCUGGUUUAAAGAUGAUUUUCUGUUAAGUUUGAUUGGCUUUUUCAGGCGCUUUGAAGCUGGAUUUCAUGAGGUUUUAUGGCUGAUUUUGGGGGUGAAGGGGAGAGAUUUUGAUGUUGAAAAGGUGAAGAAAGUUGUGAGAUUCAAGGUGCUUUCAUGGUGGCUUUAGGCUGGAAUUCUAUGAAGGAAGAAAGAGAUUUUUUGGGGUUGCUACUCUCUGUUUUUGGAGUGAAGAAGAAGAAGUUCAGGAGUCUUUUUUUUUUGUCCAAAACGGCUGAUUUUUGCUUAGGGAUCUAGGUCUAGGGGUCUAGCUAGGUUAAAUAGAGCAAGAGUUAUUUUUAAUGGUAGGGAAUGGGUAUUGGGCUAAAAUAAUUGGGCUUGAAGGGAUUUGGGUCAUGAAUUUGGGCUAAUUAACUUUGAGGUAGGAAGACUUAA